rnacentral:rRNA from 1 species
ACGCUCGACACCUACGGGAGGCAGCAGUCGGGAAUAUUGCGCAAUGGAGGAAACUCUGACGCAGUGACGCCGCGUAUAGGAAGAAGGUCUUCGGAUUGUAAACUAUUGUCGUUAGGGAAGAAAAAGGACAGUACCUAAGGAGGAAGCUCCGGCUAACUACGUGUCAGCAGCCGCGGUAAUCUGAGCGGGCUGGCAAGGC